UACGGGGGGAGCAAGCGUUGUUCGGAUUUACUGGGCGUAAAGGGCGCGUAGGCGGUCGUGACAAGUCACUUGUGAAAUCUCCGGGCUUAACUCGGAACGGCCAAGUGAAACUGUCAAGCUAGAGUGCAGAAGGGGCAAUCGGAAUUCUUGGUGUAGCGGUGAAAUGCGUAGAUAUCAAGAGGAACACCUGAGGUGAAGACGGGUUGCUGGGCUGACACUGACGCUGAGGCGCGAAAGCCAGGGGAGCAAACGGG
rnacentral:rRNA from 1 species